rnacentral:rRNA from 1 species
AGCGAACGCUGGCGGCAGGCUUAACACAUGCAAGUCGAGCGGGCAUCCUUGUGGUGUCAGCGGCAGACGGGUGAGUAACGCGUGGGAACGUGCCCUUCGGUUCGGAAUAACUCAGGGAAACUUGAGCUAAUACCGGAUACGUGCGAGAGCAGAAAGGUUUAUCUGCCGAAGGAUCGGCCCGCGUCUGAUUAGCUAGUUGGUGAGGUUACGGCUCACCAAGGCGACGAUCAGUAGCUGGUCUGAGAGGAUGAUCAGCCACACUGGGACUGAGACACGGCCCAGACUCCUACGGGAGGCAGCAGUGGGGAAUAUUGGACAAUGGGGGCAACCCUGAUCCAGCCAUGCAGCGUGAGUGAUGACGGCCUUAGGGUUGUAAAGCUCUUCUCUCCGGGACGAUAAUGACGGUACCGGAGGAAUAAGCCCCGGCUAACUUCGUG